rnacentral:miRNA from 1 species
CUGAAAGUGUCCAUUUCCGUU